GCCGGGUUGGCGGAACUGGUAGACGCAGCGGACUUAAAAUCCGCCGGCCUCACGGCCAUACCGGUUCGAUUCCGGUACCCGGUACCA
rnacentral:tRNA from 1 species